CCUACGGGGGGCUGCAGUGGGGAAUAUUGCACAAUGGGCGAAAGCCUGAUGCAGCAACGCCGCGUGGAGGAUGAAGGCCUUCGGGUUGUAAACUCUUGUCUUCUGGGACGAUAAUGACGGUACCAGAGGAGGAAGCCACGGCUAACUACGUGCCAGCAACCGCGGUAAUACGUAGGUGGCGAGCGUUGUCCGGAUUUACUGGGCGUAAAGGAUGCGUAGGCGGAUAUUUAAGUGAGAUGUGAAAUACCCGGGCUUAACUUGGGUGCUGCAUUUCAAACUGGAUAUCUGGAGUGCGGGAGAGGAAAGUGGAAUUCUUAGUGUAGCGGUGAAAUGCGUAGAGAUUAGGAAGAACACCAGUGGCGAAGGCGACUUUCUGGACCGUAACUGACGCUGAGGCAUGAAAGCGUGGGGAGCAAACAGGAUUAGAUACCCUUGUAGUC
rnacentral:rRNA from 1 species